GGCUACGUAGCUCAGCCGGUUAGAGCAUCGCACUCAUAAUGCGGGGGUCCCCAGUUCGAGUCUGGGCGUAGCCACCA
rnacentral:tRNA from 1 species